ACAGCAGUAGCCGCGGGAAUACGGAGGGAGCUAGCGUUAUUCGGAAUUACUGGGCGUAAAGCGCACGUAGGCGGCUUUGUAAGUAAGAGGUGAAAGCCCGGAGCUCAACUCCGGAACUGCCUUUUAGACUGCAUCGCUUGAAUCCAGGAGAGGUGAGUGGAAUUCCGAGUGUAGAGGUGAAAUUCGUAGAUAUUCGGAAGAACACCAGUGGCGAAGGCGGCUCACUGGACUGGUAUUGACGCUGAGGUGCGAAAGCGUGGGGAGCAAACAGGAUUAGAUACCCCAGUAGUCCCUGUCUCUUAUAC
rnacentral:rRNA from 1 species